GGGUGGCUGUAUAAAUGCAGCUUCCACGAGGAAUCGUGGUCGAAGAAUCGGGUGAAUUCAGGGAAGCCUGACUUCCCAGUGAGGAAAUGGUAACCCUGAGCCAAGCCCCGUCCCGGCGGGACAGGGAAGGUGCAGAGACUAGAGCGAAAGCUCGUACCUCGAGUCAAACUCGGGGGAAGCGCCCGACACCCUAUGUCCGUUAUCCGGAACGGGUGAAGAGAUAGUCCAAGCCCGGAAGAAAUCCCGGG
rnacentral:ncRNA from 1 species